rnacentral:rRNA from 1 species
AUUGAACGCUGGCGGCAGGCCUAACACAUGCAAGUCGAACGAGUGGCGGACGGGUGAGUAAUGUCGUGAAACCUGCCUGAUGUAGGGGGCUAACUACUGGAAACGGUAGCUACUACCGCUUACCAUGCUAUGUGCCCAGACGGGAUUAGCUAGUAGGUGGGGUAAAGGCUCAUCUAGGCGACGAUCCCUAGCUGGUCUGAGAGGAUGACCAGCCACACUGGAACUGAGACACGGUCCAGACUCCUACGGGAGGCAGCAGUGGGGAAUAUUGCACAAUGGGCGAAAGUCUGAUGGAGCAAUGCCGCGUGUGUGAAGAAGGUUUUCGGGUUGUAAAGUACUUUCAUCGGGGAGGCGUUACCCGCAGAAGAAGCACCGGCUAACUCCGUGCCAGCAGCCGCGGUAAUUC